CCUACGGGUGGCAGCAGUGGGGAAUAUUGCACAAUGGGCGCAAGCCUGAUGCAGCGACGCCGCGUGGGGGAUGAAGGCCUUCGGGUUGUCAACUCCUUUCGCCCGGGACGAAGCCCACCUGGUGGGUGACGGUACCGUGGAGAAGAAGCACCGGCUAACUACGUGCCAGCAGCCGCGGUAAUACGUAGGGUGCAAGCGUUGUCCGGAUUUACUGGGCGUAAAGAGCUCGUAGGUGGUGUGUCGCGCCGUCUGUGAAAUUCCGGGGCUUAACUCCGGGCGUGCAGGCGAUACGGGCACGACUAGAGUGCUGUAGGGGUAACUGGAAUUCCUGGUGUAGCGGUGAAAUGCGCAGAUAUCAGGAGGAACACCGAUGGCGAAGGCAGGUUACUGGGCAGUUACUGACGCUGAGGAGCGAAAGCAUGGGGAGCGAACAGGAUUAGAUACCCGGGUAGUC
rnacentral:rRNA from 1 species